CUUAAUUCUUAAGAGGCGUGGUGAAAACCAUAAAUAUAUACUUCAAUAAAAAAUUACUAUAAUAAUUCAAAAUUAAGACCAACAAUUUGUACUUCUUCUGUUCUUUUAAAAACUAGUUUGAACUGAAAUUUAAUGGAAUUCUAUUUUGUAUUUGAUCCGUUGAAAUUUGAAAUCACUUUACUGUGCUAAUUUAAUCUUGACAUAUGUUGUUUUCAUUUCUGUGACCAGUGUAUAAAUAUAAAAAUAAAGAAGAUGUUAUAUGAUUGUCAUAUCAAUGAGACAACUCUACACAGACCGAAUGACCGAUAUAGGUCAUUGUGCUUCCUUCAAAAAUGAGCGAAACCCAUACAGCAUAGU
rnacentral:lncRNA from 1 species